UACGUAGGGUGCAAGCGUUGUCCGGAAUUAUUGGGCGUAAAGAGCUCGUAGGUGGUUUGUUACGUCUGCUGUGAAAUCCUAGGGCUUAACCCUGGGCCUGCAGUGGAUACGGGCAGACUAGAGGUAGGUAGGGGAGAAUGGAAUUCCCGGUGUAGCGGUGAAAUGCGCAGAUAUCAGGAGGAACACCGAUGGCGAAGGCAGGUCUCUGGGCCACUACUGACGCUGAGAAGCGAAAGCAUGGGGAGCGAACAGG
rnacentral:rRNA from 1 species